UCAUUUUUUGUUUCUUUUUAAUAGACUAAUUAUAUUUUAUCUGCAGGAAAUAUUGUUUGUUGCUCCUGAGAUAGUUAUUCAGUCCUCAGCUUAUGACUAUGUUCACGGUCACCACCGCGGUGGACAUCACCAUGGACUCGACAUGGAACAACGAGUUCUAGCUUUGAACAUGACUCUAGCAUCCAUAGCCGUUAAAAGGGGGUAUACAAAUCAUAUCGGUGUUAAUUUUAUUUGAUAUUGUUUAGUUUCAGUUCCUUUGCGAACAAAACUUGUUCGUUAUGCUUAUUUGAUUUGGACAUACUCUCAUGUCGAGUUCCAUCUAACAUAAUCUGGAGCGAUGCUCGACCUCAUCUUUGGUUUUCAAGUUUAUCUGUAUUUUGACAUGUUAUAGCUUUCAGAUUUUGUAGGCUCUAUUAAGAUGCUUAUGAUGUUGACUUGUUAAUGUAACACCAUCUUUGAAAGCUUUGGACCCAAUAACGAAACUGUGUCUACUUCCCAAGUAGAUUCCUUAAAUUAAGGCCUACCUUAAUCCGCAAAGCCAUGACCCUGUCAGGUUCCUCAAAACUCUGCCAUUUUAUGCUUCUCCUUGUCUGCAAAUAUUAAGUAUCUGACAUGGUUACUUCUGCUUAUAGGCUUCAAAUUAUGAGUUGACACAUAAUCCUUGGAGACGUAUCUUAGCUUCUCUUUUCUUUCAACAAAGUAUUUAAGAACUACAAAUUGACAGUUCAUUAUAAAGUUGCCUUUCAGCAUGCUAGUAGAUAUUUCAAAUAAAAUAUAAAGAGCCUUUUGUGCCUGUUGAACUCGAGCAUACCUGUUUCUGUAGACCCUUGAAUGUGCAACAUUCUGUGAAUUCUUUUUAUGGGUUUUCAGAAAGUGGUUGUUGAGUGCAUAACACGCCACAUUGCAAUCAGAUUUUUUUUCAAAUUGAGGUCUCCAUGCCUCCAGACAUGUUAAUUAGCAAGGCCGUAAACGUUGCAGAAGAGGCAGAAAAAAUAUUUCAGAAUCAGUACCUAACAGCGUAUACAUCUCCAUUCAGCUACAACUCGGGCAUCAAAUACCAGAGUUCCAACAGCUGCAAGACCCCAGUCAAGACGGUAGCUGAUAAGUCCUUUCAUAUUUGCACAUGUAUAUGUGCCAUUCUCUUUUUUCAUUGAAAUUAUGUAUUAGGCAGAUCAUUAUGACUUGGAAGAACUAUGAAUUUUGUAUAUCGUGUUACUUAACUUUUCGAUUGUAUAAAUGAACACAAUUUUUGUAGCAACUCAAGCUCCCUUCAAAUCGUUUGAGGGUUUGUUUA